UCGAGGUGGGACUAAGCCAUGCCAGUCGAACGACCCGGACUAUGGCGGGGAGUGGCAGACUGCUCAGUAACACGUAGCUAACCUAACCUCGGGACGGAGAUAACCCCGGGAAACUGGGGCUAAUACCCGAUAGGUGUGGAUUCCUGGAAUGGUGCCAUGCCUAAAUAUAAGCGCAUCCAUGUUUGCGUGCAUGCCCGAGGAUGGGGCUGCGGCCGAUCAGGCAGUUGGUGAGGUAACGGCUCACCAAACCUUUGACCGGUACGGGCCAUGAGAGUGGUAGCCCGGAGAUGGGCACUGAGACAAGGGCCCAGGCCCUACGGGGCGCAGCAGGCGCGAAACCUCCACAAUUCACGCAAGUGAGAUGGGGUUACCUCGAGUGCCGCCUGAAGAAGGCGGCUUUUCCACGGUGUAAUGAGCCGUGGGAAUAAGGGGGGGGCAAGACUGGUGUCAGCCGCCGCGGUGACACCAGCCCCCCGAGUGGUGGGGAUGAUUAUUUGGCCUAAAGCGUCCGUAGCCGGCUCUGUAAAUCUCUCGUUAAAUCCAGCGUCCCAAGCGUUGGGCUGCGAGGGAGACUGCAGAGCUAGAGGGUGGGAGAGGUCAGCGGUAUUCCUGGGGUAGGGGCGAAAUCCAUUGAUCCCAGGAGGACCACCAGUGGCGAAGGCUGCUGACUAGAACACGCCUGACGGUGAGGGACGAAAGCUGGGGUAGCGAAUCGGAUUAGAUACCCGAGUAGUCCCAGCCGUAAACGAUGCAGGCUAGGUGUUGGGUCGGCCAAGCGCCGCCUCAGUGCCACAGGGAAGCCAUUAAGCCUGCCGCCUGGGGAGUACGGCCGCAAGGCUGAAACUUAAAGGAAUUGGCGGGGGAGCACCACCAGGCGUGAAGCCUGC
rnacentral:rRNA from 1 species